UGGGGAAGUUGGUCUGCCGUAUGAUCUGACUGUUUUGGGCUGUGAUAGAAGCUACACAUUAGACAGGAAACAAAAACUUCAGAUAAAGAUAUGAACAGGGCAAAUUUCUGACAGAGGGUGACCUGUCUUUGUUGACCCUAAGAGAUUAUGGAACUCUGAAUAACAGCUUCAGUUGAUCUCCCAGGCUACAGCCAGUUUCAGUUUUCAGCCACGUGAGGCAGUCAUCUUGGAUGUUGGUCUAGUAGAUCCUUUACAUGACUGUAGCCCCAGGUGCUUUCUGGAUGCAAUCAAUGGGAUACUUCAAGCACAAA